rnacentral:misc_RNA from 1 species
CUCCAGCCCGGCGUUUGGCGUGAGCUGUCUCGAAAGGCUGAGCGAGGUGUUCAUGCUCUCCCAGCCAACGCAACGAAACGAGGCAGCCGAUUUCUGUGCGCGUGUGGCCGCAGCCCGAAGCCGAUGUCGCGGUUUGAGCGGGUAAACGAACGCUGUACGGUGGUUCGACGCAGUCUCGAAUGGCGCGCACUCGCAGCGAGUUUGCGCGUCUGCAGUCAGAAAGCUGGCAUAGCUUUUUCGGUUAGUCCUGCCCGGCGUAGCAAGAGCUUGUCGGAAGGCGUCCAGUGGUAACCAUGUAUCACUAGGCAGCCGGCGGAGGCGCGCUGAGCGAUGACUCCCCGGGCCUGGGUGUACGUGAACAGUCCUUUUCGGUGCGACAGAUAUCUGGUUGAUCCUGCCAGU